AGGACCUUCACCUGUACUCUCGCAAACUCCUUUUGAAAAAAUUACAUGCCAGGAAAGAAAAUCCAGAUUUUUCCACACUUGAACUUGAGGCCCUACAAACCUUAGAAGAAUUAUUACAAGAGCAAAAUGAACCUGAGCCAGCUCAACUACUGCCAAUUUUUUGGACAUCCAGAUGCACCGACAAUCAGAUGGACACAUCGCUACAGAUAUUUAUAGAAAGGAAACUUCCACAAAUUCGCUUCUUCAUGCCACCUCAUCCCAUAUGCCAUCUACGAUCAGAGCAGUGCCCAUAGAUAUACCUUUGUACACAUGGCAUUAUAAGACACACUGUUACCCUAUGAUAUGAGUCUCGCAUCUUAGUAUGGAAGAUAUAAAGUAUUGCAAGAAGUACGGACUACUUGAAGACCAUUAAGUGAACCAUGGUAGCCAGACUGAUUAAAAAGAAAAAAAGGAAAUGAAUUGGACAAUAUGGUAGUGAAAGGAAUUGUAGUGGGGUUUUGGAUUUGUUUGGGAAUUUUUUAUAAGUGCCACAUAGAUGGCUGUAUAUGCACUUUAAUUAUACUAUAUAAUGGGGAUUUGCCAGCAAUUAAUACUGACAUGAUACACAUGGAUACUUGCACUUUAUGUACAGCACUUUAAUUAUUCUUGUAAUAUGUUAUAAGUAUUUAAUAAUUCCUUUUUUUGCUUUUUUGUUUUUUUCUUUUCACAUAUUAUUUUUGACAUGCAAAUUGUUUAUUUAGCACGAUUCAUUUUAAUACUGGGUUAAUAUUACACUGGGUCUUUUCACUCCAUAUAUGUUCUUACAUGUAUAUGGUUGUAUAGUCUGUCCUAUGGAUUCAUGCAGA